ACGAACGCUGGCGGCGUGCUUAACACAUGCAAGUCGAACGGUGAAGCGCCUUCCUUUUUGGUGGGUGUGGAUGAGUGGCGAACGGGUGAGUAACACGUGAGUAACCUGCCCCCUUCUUCUGGAUAACCGCAUGAAAGUGUGGCUAAUACGGGAUAUUCUGGGUCUGUCGCAUGAUGGGUCUGGGAAAGAUAUUGUUUCGGGGGGGGAUGGGCUCGCGGCCUAUCAGGUUGUUGGUGGGGUGAUGGCCUACCAAGGCGGUGACGGGUAGCCGGCCUGAGAGGGUGGACGGUCACACUGGGACUGAUACACGGCCCAGACUGCUACGGGAGGCAGCAGUGGGGAAUACUGCACAAUGGGCGCAAGCCUGAUGCAGCGACGCCGCGUGAGGGAUGGAGGCCUUCGGGUUGUGAACCUCUUUCGCCAGUGAAGCAGGCCUGCCUCGUUUGUGGGUGGGUUGACGGUAGCUGGAUAAGAAGCGCCGGCUAACUACGUG
rnacentral:rRNA from 1 species